GGUGUGCCUCUGGCACCUGGUGAAAGCCACCGAGGAGCCAGAAGGGACCAAGGUGCAGUGCAGCAGCCUACGGGAGCGGGAGCCAGCAAGGGCCAAGGCCAUUCCGGAAAUCUACCUCACCCGUCUGCUGUCCAUGAAGGGCACGCUGCAGAAGUUUGUGGACGACACCUUCCAGGCCAUUCUCAGUGUGAACCGGCCCAUCCCCAUCGCCGUCAAGUACCUGUUUGACCUUCUGGAUGAGCUAGCAGAGAAGCACGGCAUCGAGGACCCAGGGACCCUGCACAUCUGGAAGACUAACAGGUGCCUUUCCUGCUGCCGCACCCCUGCUGUGCACAUGGUCCACUGAGUCCCAGAGGGACCAGGACAUUCCCAGGGUGGAUGCCCCCACCUGGGGUUUCUGGAACUUACAGGAAGAUCUAGGGCCCAGGUCACCUGGGCCACCAGGCCAGCUUCCAGCGGCCCCUGGCCCCGAGUGUGUUGCCAGUAGGCUGGAGUUCAUGGGGCGGAGAUCACAAUGGCAGGCCAGGGCCUCACGCCCACGCCUGCCCUGCGCCCCCAGUCUGCUGCUGCGGUUCUGGGUGAAUGCCUUGAAGAACCCACAGCUCAUCUUUGAUGUGCGGGUGUCGGACAAUGUGGACGCCAUCCUUGCUGUCAUCGCCCAGACCUUCAUUGACUCCUGUACCACCUCGGAGCACAAAGUGGGCCGGGAUUCCCCAGUGAACAAACUGCUCUACGCCCGGGAGAUCCCACGCUACAAGCAGAUGGUGGAGAGG
rnacentral:sRNA from 1 species